GCCCAGAUAGCUCAGUCGGCAGAGCAUUUCACUCGUAAUGAAAAGGUCGAGGGUUCGAUUCCCUCUCUGGGCUCCA
rnacentral:tRNA from 4 species